UACGUAGGGGGCUAGCGUUGUCCGGAUUUAUUGGGCGUAAAGAGCGUGUAGGCGGCCAGGUAGGUCUGGUGUGAAAACUCGAGGCUUAACCUCGAGAUGUCAUCGGAAACCAUCUGGCUAGAGUCCGGAAGAGGAGAGUGGAAUUCCUGGUGUAGCGGUGAAAUGCGCAGAUAUCAGGAAGAACACCAAUGGCGAAAGCAGCUCUCUGGGACGUUACUGACGCUGAGACGCGAAAGCGUGGGGAGCAAACAGG
rnacentral:rRNA from 1 species